ensembl:misc_RNA
UUGGUAGCCCUGAAACUGAUAUCCUUUUAAUCCCAGGAUGGGUACAGCAUGGGCAGAGACAGUCCAAGCAUUCCUGGGACAGCCUCCUAAUUUUCCUCAUCCCUGACCUGAAGGAACAACCUGUAGAGGUGAAAGGAGUAGUUCAGUUUCUAUGCCCUGUUCAGUCCUUGGCCUGU